CAUUGAUGAACGCUAGCUACAGGCUUAACACAUGCAAGUCGAGGGGCAUCAGGAAGAAAGCUUGCUUUCUUUGCUGGCGACCGGCGCACGGGUGAGUAACACGUAUCCAACCUGCCCUUUACUCGGGGAUAGCCUUUCGAAAGAAAGAUUAAUACCCGAUAGCAUAAUGAUUCCGCAUGGUUUCAUUAUUAAAGGAUUCCGGUAAAGGAUGGGGAUGCGUUCCAUUAGGUUGUUGGUGAGGUAACGGCCCACCAAGCCUUCGAUGGAUAGGGGUUCUGAGAGGAAGGUCCCCCACAUUGGAACUGAGACACGGUCCAAACUCCUACGGGGGGCAGCAGUGAGGAAUAUUGGUCAAUGGGCGCUAGCCUGAACCAGCCAAGUAGCGUGAAGGAUGAAGGCUCUAUGGGUCGUAAACUUCUUUUAUAUAAGAAUAAAGUGCAGUAUGUAUACUGUUUUGUAUGUAUUAUAUGAAUAAGGAUCGGCUAACUCCGUGCCAGCAGCCGCGGUAAUACGGAGGAUCCGAGCGUUAUCCGGAUUUAUUGGGUUUAAAGGGAGCGUAGGUGGACUGGUAAGUCAGUUGUGAAAGUUUGCGGCUCAACCGUAAAAUUGCAGUUGAUACUGUCAGUCUUGAGUACAGUAGAGGUGGGCGGAAUUCGUGGUGUAGCGGUGAAAUGCUUAGAUAUCACGAAGAACUCCGAUUGCGAAGGCAGCUCACUGGACUGCAACUGACACUGAUGCUCGAAAGUGUGGGUAUCAAACAGGAUUAGAUACCCUGGUAGUCCACACAGUAAACGAUGAAUACUCGCUGUUUGCGAUAUACAGUAAGCGGCCAAGCGAAAGCAUUAAGUAUUCCACCUGGGGAGUACGCCGGCAACGGUGAAACUCAAAGGAAUUGACGGGGGCCCGCACAAGCGGAGGAACAUGUGGUUUAAUUCGAUGAUACGCGAGGAACCUUACCCGGGCUUAAAUUGCAGUGGAAUGAUGUGGAAACAUGUCAGUGAGCAAUCACCGCUGUGAAGGUGCUGCAUGGUUGUCGUCAGCUCGUGCCGUGAGGUGUCGGCUUAAGUGCCAUAACGAGCGCAACCCUUAUCUUUAGUUACUAACAGGUUAUGCUGAGGACUCUAGAGAGACUGCCGUCGUAAGAUGUGAGGAAGGUGGGGAUGACGUCAAAUCAGCACGGCCCUUACGUCCGGGGCUACACACGUGUUACAAUGGGGGGGUACAGAAGGCAGCUAGCGGGUGACCGUAUGCUAAUCCCAAAAUCCUCUCUCAGUUCGGAUCGAAGUCUGCAACCCGACUUCGUGAAGCUGGAUUCGCUAGUAAUCGCGCAUCAGCCACGGCGCGGUGAAUACGUUCCCGGGCCUUGUACACACCGCCCGUCAAGCCAUGGGAGCCGGGGGUACCUGAAGUACGUAACCGCAAGGAUCGUCCUAGGGUA
rnacentral:rRNA from 1 species